GGCGCAAACUUGAAGUAGAGUUUAUUGGUAUGGUCAGAUGAUCGUACUAAUGGACUCUACUUCAAGUUUGGGUUC
rnacentral:pre_miRNA from 1 species